CGACGUGAGGAACCUGCCUCAAAGAGGGGGACAACAGUUGGAAACGACUGCUAAUACCGCAUGACGCAUUCGGAUGGCAUCAUCUGAAUGCCAAAGAUUUAUCGCUGAAAGAUGGCCUCGCGUCUGAUUAGAUAGUUGGCGGGGUAACGGCCCACCAAGUCGACGAUCAGUAGCCGGACUGAGAGGUUGACCGGCCACAUUGGGACUGAGAUACGGCCCAG
rnacentral:rRNA from 1 species